GAUGAACGCUGGCGGCGUGCCUAAUACAUGCAAGUCGAGCGAACAGACGAGGAGCUUGCUCCUCUGACGUUAGCGGCGGACGGGUGAGUAACACGUGGAUAACCUACCUAUAAGACUGGGAUAACUUCGGGAAACCGGAGCUAAUACCGGAUAAUAUAUUGAACCGCAUGGUUCAAUAGUGAAAGACGGUUUUGCUGUCACUUAUAGAUGGAUCCGCGCCGCAUUAGCUAGUUGGUAAGGUAACGGCUUACCAAGGCAACGAUGCGUAGCCGACCUGAGAGGUUGAUCGGCCACACUGGAACUGAGACACGGUCCAGACUCUUACGGGAGGCAGCAGUAGGGAAUCUUCCGCAAUGGGCGAAAGCCUGACGGAGCAACGCCGCGUGAGUGAUGAAGGUCUUCGGAUCGUAAAACUCUGUUAUUAGGGAAGAACAAAUGUGUAAGUAACUAUGCACGUCUUGACGGUACCUAAUCAGAAAGCCACGGCUAACUACGUG
rnacentral:rRNA from 1 species